rnacentral:rRNA from 1 species
GACAAACGCUGGCGGCGUGCGUAAAACAUGCAAGUCGAACGCUCGGGCUUCGGCCCGGGAGUGGCAGACGGCUGAGGAACGCGUAGGAACCUGCCCUGGAGUGGGGGAUAGCUUGCCGAAAGGUGAGGUAAUACCGCAUACGUUCGGCCUUCGGGCCGAGGAAGGCCUUCGGGUGCUCGAGGGGGGGCCUGCGUCCGAUUAGCUCGUUGGUGGGGCAACGGCCUACCAAGGCGACGAUCGGUAGCUGGUCUGAGAGGAUGACCAGCCAGACUGGGGCUGGGACACGGCCAAGACUCCUACGGGAGGCAGCAGUUAGGAAUUUUGGGCAAUGGCCGCAAGGCUGACCCAGCAACGCCGCGUGAGGGAAGAAGGCCUUCGGGUUGUAAACCUCUUUUGUCAGGGACGAUGAUGACGGUACCUGACGAAUAAGCCCCGGCUAACUACGUGCCAGCCGCCGCAGUAAAAC